rfam:Hordeum vulgare subsp. vulgare, WGS project CAJW01000000 data, contig: morex_contig_36898
CCUCUCAGUGAUGAGGAGUUCACCUCAUUCAUCCUCAAUGGCCUUGAUGAGGACUAUGAUUCCCUGGUGGAAAGUAUUAAUGGAGGUGACACACCACUGCCACCACGUGAUCUUUAUGCGCGCCUCCUGAACGCGGAAC